rnacentral:lncRNA from 1 species
UAUCCAUUCCUCAUUUGCGGGAGCCAAUCACCACACCACCCAUCCAUAACAUCUGAUAAUGUUUCUAAGUUUUGUUCCAAAUCCUUGAGAGCUUGAAAAGUUAAAAAAUGCUUUAGCUAGCUCUAGAAAUCUGGAGGACCCUGGAACCAACUCAAAUUCACAUCACUGCCUAUAGAUUAAAUACUCCAUCAUCUUUUAAAAAAAUACAGCUUGUAAAAUUUGACAUAGAAAUUUAGUCUGCCUUAUAACAGGAAGAAGAAAACUGGGUUGAAAGAGAAAGAAAUAGGAUAGUGAGACUACAACAAAGAAAACCAAGCUCUUUACAUGUGACAUGGCAGUGGGCUAAGGGAAAAGGCUUGUUCUUAGGGAGGGAGUUGUGCUGCUGGGGAAAGAAGCGCCCAGAGGGGCAGAAGAGAUUUCAUUCUGCCUAUCCAUCAUAGGAACCAACCUGACCAAACCCAGUCUGUCUGUUGUAGUCUAGGCAACAGCACAGGGGUAGAGGUAAAGCUGUCUAAAACCCUGCUCUGUUGUAGCUUACCCCAGCUUAGAAUAGGAGCAAAGCUAGUUAGUGGUUGUCCCUGCAUGGAGAUAGGCAAAGUGAGCUGCCAGGUGAGAUUAAAAUAAUUUAUGAGAUAAAAAUAAUUUUAAACAACAUUGACAAAAAGUGGCAAAUUUUUUUUUCAUUUUUCUUCUACAGGUGAAAAAGUGGGCUACACAAAGCCCCUCAUUUCCUCUGUGUGCCUUACACCAGCCCUGAACAGUUCCAGCCUGCAGCAGAGGCCUGGCUGGGGACCUGGGGACCUCCCACAUCCUAAUGCCAGUUUGGAAACCUUAGGGUGCCUCAUGUGGAGCCCUGGCUGCUAUCUGCUUUCUCAUCCCCAUCUCGCUGCUGCUUUCAAAAUGCUUGCAGAAUGCCAGCUGAAAUGAAGAGUACUAAGGAGGUGAAUUGCACUGAAGAUUUUCGACAUCCUUUUGAAAGCUUCCUGCAGGAAAGAUGAAAUUUCAAACCUGUAUAUUAUCUGAACCUUGAUCUCAUCCUGUCUGCUAUUGAAAUAUAUGACCCAAAAGUGCUUCCCUCUGAAUUAGGCACUCAUCGUGCAUUUUAACCUUCUUGGACAAAAUUAUGCAGGUCUCUGGGUUGCCUGCAUGAGUUAUCUUUUAUUCAUUAGAAUCCUAAAUGUUAUUGACAUGCAUUCUUAAUUAUUCCCUGCUGGAACCAGUAGUGUUCCUGAGCAAGUAUUUUACAUUUGUUAUGUCCUGCUGCUAGCACAGUUAAUAAUGUAUAUAAUAAUAAAAUAAGAAACUAUCAGAGCA